GACGAACGCUGGCGGCGUGCUUAACACAUGCAAGUCGAACGGAAAGGCCCUUCGGGGUACUCGAGUGGCGAACGGGUGAGUAACACGUGGGUGAUCUGCCCUGCACUUCGGGAUAAGCCUGGGAAACUGGGUCUAAUACCGGAUAUGACCAUGGGAUGCAUGUUUCGUGGUGGAAAGCUUUUGCGGUGUGGGAUGGGCCCGCGGCCUAUCAGCUUGUUGGUGGGGUCACGGCCUACCAAGGCGACGACGGGUAGCCGGCCUGAGAGGGUGACCGGCCACACUGGGACUGAGAUACGGCCCAGACUCCUACGGGAGGCAGCAGUGGGGAAUAUUGCACAAUGGGCGCAAGCCUGAUGCAACGACGCCGCGUGAGGGACGACGGCCUUCGGGUUGUAAACCUCUUUCAGCACAGACGAAGCGCGAGUGACGGU
rnacentral:rRNA from 1 species